rnacentral:rRNA from 1 species
AAUAGAUACCCGGGUAGUCCACGCCGUAAACGAUGGAUACUAGCUGUUUGAGCGCAAGUUUGAGUGGCUAAGCAAAAGUGAUAAGUAUCCCACCUGGGGAGUACGGGCGCAAGCCUGAAACUCAAAGGAAUUGACGGGGGCCCGCACAAGCGGUGGAGCAUGUGGUUUAAUUCGAUGAUACGCGAGGAACCUUACCAGGGCUUAAAUGUAGAUUGACGUAUUUGGAAACAGAUAUUUCUUCGGACAAUUUACAAGGUGCUGCAUGGUUGUCGUCAGCUCGUGCCGUGAGGUGUCAGGUUAAGUCCUAUAACGAGCGCAACCCCUGUUGUUAGUUGCCAGCGAGUAAUGUCGGGAACUCUAGCAAGACUGCCAGUGUAAACUGUGAGGAAGGUGGGGAUGACGUCAAAUCAUCACGGCCCUUACGUCCUGGGCCACACACGUGCUACAAUGGCCGGUACGGAGAGCAGCCACUUAGCGAUAAGGAGCGAAUCUAUAAAGCCGGUCACAGUUCGGAUCGGAGUCUGCAACUCG